GAUGAAGAACGUAGCGAAAUGCGAUACUUGGUGUGAAUUGCAGAAUCCCAUGAACCAUCGAGUCUUUGAACGCAAGUUGCGCCCGAAGCCUCGGCUAAGGGCACGUCUGCCUGGGCGUCACGCAUCGCGUCUCCCCCAAACCGCCAAGGCGGAGGGGAAGGAAGAUGGCUUCCCGUGCCUCACCCGGCGCGGUUGGCCUAAAUUUGGAGCCCGCGGCACUUAGCUCACGCGGCGAUAGGUGGUGAACAAGGCCUUGGCCGUGCAAACAACCCGCUGCGAAGCUCUAUGUCACGUGCGCUCGUCGGACCCUUUGAAGUUGCCUUCGGUGACUUAAAACCUUUGCGACCCCAGGUCAGGCGGGGCUACCCGCUGAAUUUAAGCAUAUCAAUAAGCGGAGGA
rnacentral:misc_RNA from 1 species